UGGGUAAGGAGUUGCUGCCACUGCCACUCUUGUAGAAGUAGGAUGAAGAUUCUUCAGUUGUUUUCUCUUUCUCAGCUAUCAAAAUAAUUGAUGGGAAUCUAUAGUAACUCCAUAGACAUAAGAACAAGGUGAAGAUUUUGCUGGUGCCUCUUUUCCAGUUGAAGAGGAGGGUAUUCCUGGAUCUCCCACUUCCUUAACCUUCCAGCAGGGCUCGUAUUGUCAUUUAAAGAAAAUAUUACUGUUGCCCAUAAUUGCCUUGUUUUCCUGGGUUGCCCAUGCCCGGUAUGUGGGUAAAGGCAGAGACGGAGUGAGAGAGUUCAUGGAUACUGUUCUCCUUUCCAUACAGGCAUGUUGACUGUUAUCCACUAUCUAGCUUUUGAUGACCUCUCCAUACAAGAAAGAAUGACAUCUUCAAACACUGUUGACAAAUUGAUGGUGCAGCCAUGGGAAUAUGCAGAGCUCCAUCAAUUGUGAACAUCUUUAUGACAAAACUGCACAAUUAGUUCUACACAAGCCUGUGAUCUGAUGCUGGAAAGACCCUUUCCAAUGA